rnacentral:rRNA from 1 species
CCUACGGGAUGCAGCAGUGAGGAAUAUUGGUCAAUGGACGCAAGUCUGAACCAGCCAUGCCGCGUGAAUGAUGACUGCCCUAUGGGUUUUAAACUUCUUUUAUAUGGGGAUAAACUGUUACACGCGUAGCUUUCUGUAUGUACCGUACGAAUAAGGAUCGGCUAACUCCGUGCCAGCAGCCGCGGUAAUACGGAGGAUCCGAGCGUUAUCCGGAUUUAUUGGGUUUAAAGGGAGCGUAGGCGGUUGGUUAAGUUAGUUGUGAAAUCUUGGGGCUCAACCUCAAAAUUGCAGCUGAUACUGGUAGUCUAGAGAACAGUAGAGGUGGGCGGAAUGCAUGGUGUAGCGGUGAAAUGCUUAGAGAUCACGAAGAACACCGAUUGCGAAGGCAGCUCACUGGGCUACAACUGACGCUGAGGCUCGAAAGUGUGGGGAGCAAACAGGAUUAGAUACCCGUGUAGUC